UCCGUAGGGGUGACCUGCGGAGGGAUCAUUACCGAGUUUACAACUCCCAAACCCCUGUGAACAUACCUAUACGUUGCCUCGGCGGAUCAGCCCGCGCCCCGUAAAACGGGACGGCCCGCCCGAGGACCCCUAAACUCUGUUUUUAGUGGAACUUCUGAGUAAAACAAACAAAUAAAUCAAAACUUUCAACAACGGAUCUCUUGGUUCUGGCAUCGAUGAAGAACGCAGCAAAAUGCGAUAAGUAAUGUGAAUUGCAGAAUUCAGUGAAUCAUCGAAUCUUUGAACGCACAUUGCGCCCGCCAGUAUUCUGGCGGGCAUGCCUGUUCGAGCGUCAUUUCAACCCUCAAGCUCAGCUUGGUGUUGGGACUCGCGGUAACCCGCGUUCCCCAAAUCGAUUGGCGGUCACGUCGAGCUUCCAUAGCGUAGUAAUCAUACACCUCGUUACUGGUAAUCGUCGCGGCCACGCCGUUAAACCCCAACUUCUGAAUGUUGACCUCGGAUCAGGUAGGAAUACCCGCUGAACUUAAGCAUAUCAAUAAGCGGAGGA
rnacentral:rRNA from 1 species